AGCAGCCGCGGUAAUUCCAGCUCCAAUAGCGUAUAUUAAAGUUGUUGCAGUUAAAAAGCUCGUAGUUGAAUUUCGGGGUUAGUAGAUUGGUCGUGCCACUGGUAUGUACUGGUCUUACUGAUUCCUCCUUCCUGAAGAACUGUAAUGCCAUUAAUUUGGUGUUGCAGGGAAACAGGACUGUUACUUUGAAAAAUUGAGUGUUUAAAGCAGGCUAACGCUUGAAUACAUUAGCAUGGAAUAAUGAAAUAGGACGUUUGAUCCUAUUUUGUUGGUUUCUAGGAUUGACGUAAUGAUUAAUAGGGAUAGUUGGGGGCAUUAGUAUUCAA
rnacentral:rRNA from 1 species